CCUGGUUGAUCCUGCCAGUAGUCAUAUGCUUGUCUCAAAGAUUAAGCCAUGCAUGUCUAAGUAUAAACGUCUUUGUACUGUGAAACUGCGAAUGGCUCAUUAAAUCAGCUAUAAUCUAUUUGAUAGUAUCUUAAUUACAUGGAUAACCGUGGUAAUUCUAGAGCUAAUACAUGCGAAAAAUCCCGACUUUUGCGGAAGGGAUGUAUUUAUUAGGGGAAACAAAACCAGAUUCUCUCUCCUCGCGGGGGGGGAACCAACCACCAAAACUAUGGUGAUUCAUAAUAACUGUUCGAAUCGUAUGGCUCUUUACGCCGACGAUGGUUCAUUCGAAUUUCUGCCCUAUCAACUUUCGAUGGUAAUGUAGUGGAUUACCAUGGUUGCAACGGGUAACGGGGAAUUAGGGUUCGGUUCCGGAGAGGGAGCAUGAGAAACGGCUACCACAUCUAAGGAAGGCAGCAGGCGCGCAAAUUACCCAAUCCCGACACGGGGAGGUAGUGACAAGAAAUAACAAUGCAGGGCCUCAACGGUCUUGCAAUUGGAAUGAGUACAAUUUAAACCCCUUAACGAGGAACAAUUGGAGGGCAAGUCUGGUGCCAGCAGCCGCGGUAAUUCCAGCUCCAAUAGCGUAUAUUAAAGUUGUUGCAGUUAAAAAGCUCGUAGUUGGAUCUCGGGUACUAGCAUGUGGUACGCUUAACUGCUGUAACUACAUGUCUGGUCCUAAUCAAUCGGUUGGCCGUAGAUGUCCUUUACUGGGUGUUUACGGUAGCCGGUACGUUUACUUUGAGAAAAUUAGAGUGCUUAAAGCAGGCAAUUCGCCUGAAUAAUGUUGCAUGGAAUAAUAGAAUAGGACCUCGGUUCUAUUUUGUUGGUUUUGUAGAGCAUUGAGGUAAUGAUUAAUAGGGACAGACGGGGGCAUUCGUAUUGCGGUGUUAGAGGUGAAAUUCUUGGAUCGCCGCAAGACGAACAACUGCGAAAGCAUUUGCCAAGGAUGUUUUCAUUAAUCAAGAACGAAAGUUGGAGGUUCGAAGACGAUUAGAUACCGUCCUAGUUCCAACCAUAAACGAUGCCAACUAGCGAUUAGCCGAUGUAAAUUAAACGACACGGCUAGCAGCUUCCGGGAAACCA
rnacentral:rRNA from 1 species